rnacentral:lncRNA from 1 species
GUUACCCAAGCUAAGUAGAAUUGGUUGGAGAACCUAUCCAGUUACAACUACAAUGCAAUAAAAUCCUUCUCUAAUACAAUACUCUUAAUCACAUUGUUUGAGUGAUAGUUUGUUUCAUGUCUACUAUCCAAUGUGAUACUUAUCUAUAUGAUUCCCUUGAAUAUAAUUUGGAACAAACUUCCUAAGUCAUAUUCAUAUGCUUUGGCCAAAGACUUUAGAAUCAUAUCUUAGAGUAUACUCCUUCCACCAUGGAAGGUUAGAGAUCCCUUGUUGUGCAUUCAUAUGCCUACACGACUAGAUAGCUUGACCCCAACAAUGCCGUGGACACUCCGAUGGAAUGCUGUUGACAUGAUCAAAGAUCAAGGACCUAACCAUUAGACAUCUAUGAUGCCUCAGGUCAAAGGACUACUUUGCAUAUUGCAACUUUCGAGUUCUUACAUGACAUGUAUGUUCGAACUCUCUUCUGAUCGUUGUUCAGUGUACUCGAUUACUCUUUCGAGCACCUAUGUGUUUGUCUUAGUGUCCAACACCAAAUGACUUGAGACUAGUCAUACUCACACUUGAGUCAACAUAACACAUACUAACCUUAGCGGAUUGUCAAUACCCAAUUGGCAAUCCUAUGGCUAGGAAUGUUUUAGGAAUGAACAUAAGAGAAUGGUCUCGAUAAUCUAACUCACUUAGAUCACUUGUCUCUUAGAUCAAAUACAUCCCUUGGAUUCCCUUAUUACUUAAACACAUGAUACAAUAAAUAGUGAUUAACAAUAAGCUUUGCCCUUCAUUAAACAUAUAAAAGUUUAAUACAUUAAGUAUUCCAAAAAGCUAUUACAUCAAAUGAGUGGCUUUGUGGGCAUACUUCCAACAUUUGGCACCAUAAAUUGGUUUUGCUUCACACUGUCUUGAUCAAGAGUGUGUGAAGCUUUUGAGAAUUGUGGUUGAACUCCUUUGAUGAAGCUUUUGUUGGCACCAUAAAUUGGUUUUGCUUCACACUGUCUUAAUCAAGAGUGUGGGAAGCUUUUGAGAAUUGUGGUUGCUCUCCAUUGAUGAAGCUCUUGUUCGCACCAUAAAUUGAUUUUGCUUCACACUAUCAUGAUCAAGAGUGUGUAAAGCUUUCGAGAAUUGUGGUUGAACUCCUUUGAUGAAGCUCUUGUUGGCACCAUAAAUUGGUUUUGCUUCACACUAUCUUGAUUAAGAGUGUGUGAAGCUUUUGAGAAUUGUGGUUGCCCUCCAUUGAUGAAGCUCUUGUUGGUACCAUAAAUUGGUUUUGCUUCACACUGUCAUGAUCAAGAGUGUGUGAAGCUUUUGAGAAUUGUGGUUGAACUCCUUUGAUGAAGCUCUUGUUGGGACCAUAAAUUGGUUUUGCUUCACACUGUCUUGAUCAAGAGUGUGUGAAGCUUUUGAGAAUUAUGGUUGCCCUUCAUUGAUGAAGCUCUUGUUGGCACCAUAAAUUGGUUUUGCUUCACACUGUCUUGAUCAAGGGUGUGUGAAUCUUUCUACGAGUUGUAGUGUUUGCAUUGUUACAGAGGCGAAAUGUUUGAAGCAGAUGCAAGAGAGCUGAAUAACUUGAUCUUCAUAUGCCAUGCACUGAAGUUGUUGUUGGAUUGCAAUAAGACUUUGUUGGUGACUAUAACUCUUGUUGGGCAUAAAAGCUCCCCUAGUUGAGUUGUCAAGCUUGAGGGUUUUUUAUUAUUUGUGAAUGCUAGGAGUUCAUAUGUACAAGUUGUACCAAUCAUCUUCUGGUACAUGGAAUGAAUGGUGAGUUGCUUUCAUCACUUGGUUGGUGGUACGAAGGUGAGUUCCUUCAUCACCUUUCAUCACAUUUCAUCAUCUGGUUGGUGGCACGAGGAUGAGUUCCUUCUUCCCCUAGUUGGUUGCAUGAAUGGCAAGUUGCCAAAUGAUAUUAGUGUAAGGGUUGUACAUUUCCUCACCUGGUUGGUGGCAUGAAGGAGAGUAUGGGUUGUACAUUUCAUCACCUGGUUUGUGGCAUGAUAUGAGUUCCUUCUUCACGUGGUUGGUGGCAUGAGUGGCAAGUUGCUAAAUGAUAUUAGAGUACGGGUUAUACAUUUCAUCACCUGGUUGGUGGCAUAAAGGAGAGUACGGGUUGUACAUUUCAUCACUUGGUUGGUGACAUGAAUGGCAAGUUGCCAAAUGAUAUUGGAGUACGGGUUAUACAUUUCAUCACCUGGUUGGUGGCAUGAAGGAGAGUACGGGUUGUACGUUUCAUCACCUGGUUGGUGGCAUGAAGAUGAGUUCCUUCUUCACCUGGUUGGUGGCAUGAGUAGCAAGUUGCCAAAUGAUAUUAGAGUACGAGUUGUACAUUUCAUCACCUGGUUGGUGGCAUGAAGAUGAGUUCCUUCUUCACAUUUCAUCACCUGGUUGGUGAGAAAAAGGGCAAGGUGUCUAGGCACAUUGUAGCAAGUGUCGAAUGACAAAGUAUGUUGAACCCUUUCAAAGCAUAGUUGGCUUAUGUAUGAAUGUGUUGGAAUGUAUGAUUGAACGAAUAUAUUGUGAAGCUGUUCGUUUAUUUGUAUAGUCUUCUUGACAUAUACUUAGACUUUGUUUCAUGUUGGAAGCAUUCAUUUUGAAGCUUUGAACCCGAGUGUUUCAUUGUUAGGAAUGUAAGAGGAUUAGGACCGAGUUGUCUAAAUCACCUCUUUAUUCAAUUCAUGCCAAAUAGUCUUCGUUACAUAGGAUGUCGAACGGCUGAAGCUUAAUACUUGUACAAUGUGAGUUUACUUGUAAUAGUACUUCAAGUGAUCAGUGUUCCAUGGAUGGCCAAGGGUCUUGCUAUCGGAGCUUCUAAGCUUGUAGGAGCCAGGGCGACUGAUGCCAACAACUUCAAAUGGUCCAUCCCAGUUUGGACUAAGUGUUCCUUCACUCGGGACUCUGUCGUAGAGUAAUCUUUUCUUCAAUACCCAGUCCCCCACAUUGAAAGAACGAGGUUUGACCCUUGAGUCAUAGUAGUUGGAGAUGCGUUGCUUGUAGGCGACAUUCUUCAAGUGAGCCUGGUUUCUGUGUUCCUCGACUAGAUCUAAGUUGAGGGUAAGUUGUUUGUCAUUUUCUCUUUGCACAUAGUUCUGGACUCGAAACAUUGCUUGAUCAAGCUCAACUGGGACAACUACCUUUGUACCAAAGGUAAGUGAGAAUGGGGUUUCUCCUGUUGAUGUCUGAUACGAAGUGCGGUAUAACCAAAGAACUUGGGGUACAAAUUUUGGCCAACAACUUUUAGCCUUGUCCAAGCUGGUUUUCAAAGUUCGCUUGAUUAUUUUGUUGAUAGCUUCAACUUGUCCAUUAGACUGCGGAUGAGCUGGGGAGGCAAAACAUAAGUUGAUGUUGAACUUAGAGCAGAACAUCCUAAACUUAUUGUUGUCGAAUUGUUGCCCGUUGUCAGUGACUAUCACAUUGGGAAUGUUGAAUCUGCAAAGGAUGUUCUUCCAUACGAAGUCUUCUAUUUUUGCCUCAGUAAUGGUUACCAAAGGUUGUACUUCGGCCCACUUUGUGAAGUAGUCAACUGCAACGAUUGCAUAGCGAACUUUGCCCUUCCCUGCAGGCAUUGGGCCGAUCAAAUCAAGUCCCCAUUGGGCGAAGGGCCAAGGGUUGAUCAUAGGAGUGAACGGCUUGGGAGGGGAGUGAGGAAUAGUUGCGUAGCGUUGACACUUAUCACAUCAGCGGGAUAUUCUGAUGGCAUCUUGGUGGAGUGUUGGCCAGUAAUAUCCUUGGUGAAAAGCCUUGUGUGCUAGGGAUUGAGAUCCAGCAUUAUCUCCGCAUACUUCUUCAUGUAUUUCUCAAAUGACAGUUUCCACCUCUUCGGGCGUAAGGCAUCUUAGGUAUGGUAGGUUAAAACCCUGCUUGUAGAGUUGGUCAUUAAUGAUCAAGUAACGGGUAGCCUUGUAUCGAAUUUGCUUAGCUUAGACUUUGUCAUUUGGAAGGGUGCCAUGAGUAAGGAAUCUAUAAAUCGGGGUAAUCCAACUAUCCCCCUAUUGUAAGUUGCACACUUUCACAGCCAUGGUGCUUGGUGCUGCCAACAAUUCGACCUGAAUUUUUUUCCCAAUCUUGUCUUCCACUGCUGAGGCGAGGCGAGCCAAAGCAUCUGCAUAACUAUUUGCCGCUCGAGGAAUUUGGGUGAUCUGGUAGUGGAAGUGCUUGAGCAACAAUUGUGUUUGUGCCAGAUAUGCUGCCAUAGAGCUAUCCUUAGCGUCAAAGUUGUUGGUGACCUGGUUAACCACCAAUUAGGAGUCACUGAAGAUAUCAAUUCAUUUAACCCUAAGGUGUUUGGCCAAAUGUAAGCCUGCUAGGAGGGCUUCAUAUUCAGCCUCAUUGUUUGACGCCUUGAAUUUGAAACGAAGAGCAUACUCCAUUGCCACUUAGUCAAGGGUUGUAAGGACUAAUCCUGCUUCACAACCCUGUUGGUUGGACGAGCCAUCAACAUAUAGGCUCCAUGUUGGGGCUGUUGGUUCUGUUUUCUGAGCUUCCGAGGGUAAUGAAACCACUUCUUUAGGAGUAUAAACAAUGUCAAUAGGAUAUGUGAAGUCGGCGAUGAAGUCUGCCACUGCUUGGCCUUUCUCAGCUGGCUUUGGUUGGUAGGAGAUGUCAAACUCACCCAAUGCUAUCGCCCAUUUGAUCAUUCGCCCAGAAGUGUCAGGACUUUGGAGUAUUUGUCGAAGAGGAUGAUUGGUAAGCACGAUGAUAGAGUGUGCUUAGAAGUAAGGGCGAAGUUUUCGAGCAGCCAUGACCAAUUCUAGAGCCAAUUUCUUAAUGUUGGAGUAUCGUGUCUCCCAUCUUGUAAGGCAUUGCUAGCGUAGUAUACAUGCUGUUCGACAUUACCAUCAUUUCGAAUGAGAACGGAACUUACUACUGAAGCCGAUACCGACAUAUAGAUAAUAAGAGUGUCACCAACCUCAGGUUUGGAGAGUAGAUAGGCUUUACUCAUGUAGUCUUUGAGGUUCUUGAAUGCCUCAUCACAUUCAUCAGUCCAUGUAAUGUACUUCUUACUUCCCUUAAGUGCUUUGAAGAAAAGAGCACAUCUGUCUAUGGCCUUAGAGAUGAACCUAGUUAAGGCUGCCACCUUGCCAAUAAGGAUUUGGAUGUCUUUUGAAGUUACCGGUUCCUUCAUAUCGAGGAUUGCUUUGAUCUUCUCAAGAUUAGCCUCAAUGCCUCGUUGGCUUAUCAUGAAGCCUAAGAAAUUGCCAGAGCCUAUGCCGAAGGCACAUUUGUUGGGGUUCAACCUCAUUCGAUAUCUCUUCAAAAUGGUGAAAGUUUCAGAUAGGUUAUUGAUGUGUUGGUCAGCCUGUUUGCUCUUGACUAGCAUAUCAUCAACGUAAACUUCCACGCUCUUCCCAAUCUGUUCGGCGAACAUUGAAUUAACCAGUCUCUAAUAAGUCACUCCUGCAAUCUUUAUGCCGAAGAGCAUGACUUUAUAGCAAUAUAGUCCCCUGUCAGUAGUGAAGGUUGUGUGUUCUUGGUCCGGAGGGUUCAUGAGAAUUUGAUUGUAUCCUGAGUAAGCAUCAAUGAAGCUCAAGAGUUCACACCCUGCUGUAGAGUCUAUAAGUCUGUCUAUGAGAGAAAGAGGAAAGCUAUCCUUCAGGCAUCCUUUGUUUAGGUCGGUGUAAUCGACACACAUUCUCCACAAGACCUUUUGGAGCAGGAGACUUGGUCGGAUUCUUCUUAACAAGGACAACAUUUGCUACCUACGAUGGAUAAUUGACUUCGCGGACGAAGCCUAUGCUUUUGAGUUUUUCAACUUCUACCUUCAUUACCUCGUACCGUUCAACAUCAUAGGAUCUUCACUUCUGUCUCAUUGGCUUGGUCUUGGGGUCAAUACUUAAGCGAUGACAGAUAAUAUCGGGAGAGAUGCUUGGCAUGUCCUCGUAUGACCAGGCGAAGACCUCAGUGUUCUCUUGCAAAAACGAGAUCAAUACCAACUGAAUGAGUGGUGACAAGGUGGUGCCAAUCUUCACCCUGUGAUCCAGAUAAUCUUUUGAAAUAGAGACCUUCUCCAACUCUUUAGCGGGUUGUGCUUGUCGGGUGAAAGAGUCAUCUCAAGGAUCGUCGGGUUGACUGUUGCCACCGUGAAGAUCAAAGCUGGCUUCGUCUAGGCUGGUCUUUAUGACUUGGUCAUGUAUAGGAAGGGCUUCCUUGGGCACAUGCAGGUGUUGUUGCUUGACCGAAGUGUUGUAACAUAAUCGUGCACUAAGUUGAUCUCCUAUGAUGUAACCAUUGCCAUAAGGGGUCGGAAUUUUCAUCAACAACAUAUGUGUGGAUACCAUGGCUUUGAGAUCAUUGAUGCUUGUGCAUCCUAAGAUGACAUUGUACGCCAUUGCGCAAUCAACCACCAGGAAGUUAGUGGUAAUGGUAGCUGUGUAAGGGCUUGUACCAAUGGUGAAAGGUAAGUGUAUGCUACCUAAAGGUUGCACGAUAUCACCGGAGAAGCUUAUCAGAAGGGAAAUCGAGCGAUCGAGUAAGUGUUCAGCUACAUUAAGUGCCCUGAAAGCUUCGGUAAACAUGAUAUUGACCGAAGCCCCCGUGUCGACCAGAAUUCGUCGUACUUCAAAGUUGGCUAUGUGAGCUUCCACGAUCAGUGGGUCGUUGUGAGGGUAGAUGAUACCUCUUUCUUCCUCAAGGUAGAAACAUAUUGGUGGAUCCCAGUUAGGCUUUUGAUGCUUGCCUCCCCUGAUGUCUUCCACGUGAAACACUUGGUGGCCAGACCUUAAAGCUCGUUCACUAUUUUUCAUGGCCCUGUUGGAAGAUUUAGAUAUGGGUGUGCCACCAUUUAUGGAAUAUAUCACAUUCACCUGGCGUUGGUUACGGUUACCCUUUAGAGGGUGAAGGAGGAAUUGAUCAAUUUUUCCUUCACGUGCCAAAGCUUCAAUAUGAUCGAAAGGUGAUACACUUCUCGCCGUCAUGGCCGUUAUACUCAUGGUAGCAGCAAAACAUGCCCGUGUUCUUCGUGGACUUGUAAUCCGGGUGCCUCGGCUUUGGCUUCGGUAUCAAGUGUGCUAUGCUGGGGUAAAUGGCCACGCAUGUGGCAUUCAAAGUGUUGGAAAUGUGCCCUAAAACCAAUCAUAUGAUGAUACUUUACGGACAUUUCACAUGUUAAACUAAUAUAGUUUAAUAUAAAGGGUAAACAUUAUUGUUUGAAGCCGUCUCAUAUAAAUGUUAUACGCUUAAACGAUAAGUCCAAGGAAUAUGUAAUUAGGAGAAUGCGAUCUAAAGAAGUUAGAUUCAUGAGACCAUUCUCUUUCGUAUACAUAUCCUAAACGUUCCUAAUCAUAGGAUUGCCAAUUGGGCAUUGACAAUCCGUUAAGAUUAGUACGUGAUAUGUCUUUUCUUAGGGAGCGUGACUGGUCUUAAGUCAUUGGUGUAACUGACACCAAGACAAGCAUGUAGGUGCUCAAUAGAGAAUGAGUCCACUGAACACAAUCAACAAGGAGUUCUCAUACUCACGUCACAUGAGAACUCAUGGUUGGGAUACUGCAAAGUUGUCCUUUGACUUGAAGCAUCAUAGUUGUCUUGUGGUUAGGUCCUUAAUCUUUGACUUUGUCAAAGUCCCUCCGUCAGAGGGUGUCCACGGCAUAGUUGGGGUUAAGCCACUUAGCCAUAGAGGCAAGUGAAUGCGUAACAAGGGAUCUCUAACCUUUAAACCGUUUGAGGGAGAAUACUUUAUGAUAUGAUUAAGAAUCUCUGGCCAGAGUAUGAAUGAGAUUUAGGAAAUCGUUCCAAAUCACAUUCAAGGUAAUCAUAUAAGUGAGAGAAUCACAUUGGAUAGUAGACAUGAAUAAACUAUCAAACCAAACAAUGUGGUCAAGAGUAUUGUAUUAGAGAAAGACCGUAUUGCAUUGUAAUCCUAAACUGAAUAGGUUCUCCACCUCUUCUGAUUAGCUUGGGUAACCAUGACAUACUGCUAGGUGUCACUCAUGGUUUGUGGAAGCCCUAAACGUGUAUAAUCACUAAAGGGAGAUUUGAAAGUAAGUUUCAAUUCACAAUCGAUUUAAAAGAGUUUUAAUCGCUCACUGCCUCGCUAAAAGGAACCUAAUGGAUCGUACACCGUGUAAGGUAGAGAUUGAAGAAACAACAGAGAUGAGUAAGGAUAAUUAAAUGGUUUAAUUAUUAUGGCAAUGAUUAAUUAAUAUGUUAAUUAAUCAAACGAAUAAAGUUCGUUAAAGACCUCAAGUUAGUUUUGGGCCUCAAGGCCCAAUGGGCUUUGAACGUCAAGCCCAUUGACUUAAGUUGUAUGACAACUUGAUGACUAAUAAUUCACAAAAGCCCAAACAGCCCAAUAAAACCCUAUGGCCGGCCAUAUUGAUAAAGGAGUGGGUUUUGGACUUAUUACAAGUUUGCCACUCCAAUUAAGGUAGGUAUAGAUGUGACUUUAUAGCCUUUUCUUCAUUAGGGUUUCUUUUGGAGAAAAGAUGAGAACACAAGCUCCCUUUUCUCUCUAAGAGGCCGGUCACCCUAGAGGAUUUUAGCUAGCAAUCUUACUUCCUCUAGGUCACUGAUCUCUUCUUCAAGUCCUUCCUUGGUGUGGAGAGUUAGAGGUUCUCAACUUUGGGAACUUGGAGAAUCCUUUCAACCAUCUUCAUCCAAGAAAUCCAUGGAGCUAAGAAGCAAGGAAUGAAGGCCCUCUCCUUGGGUGAUUAGCCUUUGCUUAUGCAAAGAGGAAUCAACAAAGGUAUAAAAUUUCUCAACUCACUUUAUUCUUGAGUUGAGUCUUGGUUCACAUAACUACUAGGCUUUGAAUUUCAUGGGUAAUGUUUUGUUUUGAGUGCAUUCAAGCAUGAUUUCGCCUUUAAUUGUUAAUUGCAUGACACACCCCGUCCCGAAGGAGGGCGUGCUGGCCGUCACGUGAGAGUGACGUAACCAUUUACAUAGUUCAGAAGCUUUAAAAAAAAAUUUCCAAUUACUAAGAUGACACACCCGAGGGUGAGUCCUACUUUUGUGAAUUCUGUCAGAACACCGUUGGAUUCCUCGUGGCCACCAAAGCUCUGCUAACUUGAACCUGGAGGGGCGCAAAACAAAAUUGAGUGGGUCAGUAAAACAAAGUUUUUCGAACUUUUCAUUUAAAAUAUUUCUAACCCCUCACCGUAAAACCUGUAUACUUUCCCAGAAAAUAGCAUAUAUAUAAACAUAUAUAUAAGCAAAAAUCUCAAAUCUCAAACCUUUAACACUUUUCAGAAAAAUAUAUAUAUAUAACCAUAUGAAAUCUCAAAACUUGAAUCCCAAAUCUUUAACAUUUUUCAAGAAAAACAUGACAUGCCAUAAAUCAAAAUAUAAAUCAGGUGAAAUAAGGAAUCAAUCGGAGACCCUGCAGUUGGUCCUAUACGAUUAAUUCAAUAGCUCAAUAUCUCACUAAGCCGGAGUCACCACAGUGACCUAUACGGCCCUACUCUGCACAUCACUCGGAACUACAUAAGGUAGUCUGUACGAUGACAGGUGUGUAAAAAUACGCUCUAGUGCUUCUCUCAUCAUAUCAUCAGCGCGCAUAACUAAGGUCACCCACUAGUCGGAAUCACGCCUAGUGAUCUGUACGAUUAGCAUGUCGGAACCCUCACAUGGUCUGUACGACAUCCACCUACUUGGAUCCAAGGCGAGCGUGCGGUGUGGUGAAGUAUAAAUGUGCCAAGCUAGAUUGCUAUGGGGAAUCAGUUAAUUUUUGUCGACCUGGAUGACCAGAGGUUACUUUUGGGGGUAAGUAAAGUGGAGUGAGUUAUGCCAUUAUUCAUGUUGAGAGAGCAAAGAAGAUUGUUAUCAAAAGGCUGCCAAGAUAUUUAGUUCAUAUGGUGCUAAAUGAUGUUGAUCCUAAUAGUAUGGAAGAUGUAAAGAUGGUUAGACAUUUUCCUGGUGUAUUCCCAGAUGACUUACCUAGAUUGCCGCCAGGCAGAGAUGUGGGUUCCAUUAUUGAAUUGUUUUUAGGUACAAAUCCUAUGUUAGAAAUUGGUUCAGGUUGAGUUAAAAGUUCCAUUCAACUUAUUAUAUCACAUUGGAAAAGCUCCGGUUUAUUUGUGAGGAAGAAAGUGGACAUUAAGGCUAGGCAUUGAUAUUAGGUAAUUGAAUCGGGUAACGAUUGAGAGCUGUUAUCCAUUGUUGUGUAUUGAUGAUUAUUUGAUCAGCUUUGAGGCGCCUGGGUACUUUCUGAGAUUGACUUGAGGUCUGAAUGAUAUUAGUUGAAGAUUAACAGUGGGGAUGUCCAUAAGACUGAAUCCAGGACUCGUUAUGGUCAUUUCAAGUUGGGAUGCCAUACGGAGUGACGAAUGCACCUGCUACUUUUAUGAGCUUACUGAAGGAAGUAUUCCAGUGAUAUCUAGAUCGGUUUGUUGUUGUUGCCAUUGACGAGAUUGAUAAGAUUAGAGCAGUGCAUGCUAGAUAUUUAAAGUUGGUGUUGCAAAGAUUGAAGGAACGUUGAUGUAUGUUAAGUUUAGCAAAUGCUAAUGUUGGAUAAAUUAAUUAUAUCUACUUAAGGUAUUCAAGUGGAUUCUUAAAAGAGUAGCAACGAUUGAGAAUUUGGAACAAUUGCGAACCGUGACUGAGGUUCAAAGUUUUCUCGGAUUAGCAGGAUAUUGUCGAUAGUUCGUCCAAGAUUUUAAUUAUUGCUUCGCCCUUGGCGAGAUUGAUGAGAAAAGAGGUUAAGUUUGAGUGGGAUGAAAAAUUGUGAGUAAAGCUUCAGCAAGUAAAGUAUUCCCUCACUCAUGCAUCUGUUUUCGCACUCCCAAACGAUAGUGGUAAUUACGUGGUCUAUAGUAAUACUUCUUUGAAUGUUCUUGAAUGCGCGUUGAUGCAGCAUGGUAGGAUGAUUGCCUAUGCUUCAUGGCCAUUGGGAUCUCAUAAGAUGAAUUACCCUACGUGUGAUUUGGAAUUGGCGGCUAUCAUUCUUACUUUGAAGUUAUGGAGACAUUAUAUUAUUGGUGAGAAAUGCAAGAUUUUAAUGAAUCAUAGAGUCUCCAAUAUAUGUUUACGCGGAGAGAUAUUAAUCUUAGGCAACAAAGGUGGAUUGAGUUGCUUAGUGAUUAUGAUUGUGCGACUAGGGUGGUCGAGCUAAUAUUGUGGCUGAUGCAUUUAGUAGGAAGACCCCAGUGAGAAUUAAUGCUUGGUACGCUUGCUAUGUUCAUCUUCUUGUGGAUUUGAAAUCUACUGGAGUAAAGUUGGGUAUCGAAAAAUCGAGAAGAAGCCUUAUUUGCUAAUUUCCAAGUUGGACCCAUUUGGUAGAUCGUACUCGAGACUCAAGCGUUUGACGAAGAAAUUCAAGAAUUUAUUUAAAGCAAGGAAUAACGGGAAAAAGAAAGACCUUAGAGUUAGAGAAUCAGAUGGCAAGCUUAUGCAAGGGAACAAGGUGUUUAUGCCUAAUGGUGUGGAAUUAAAGAAAGCAAUUUUGACGAUGUACAUUAUUCCACUUCUACAAUGCAUCCCGAAAGUACUAAGAUUUAUCAUACCAUUCGUUCAUGUACUGUUGACGGGUAUGAAAAGAGGAAUGGCGAAGUAUGUUAGUAGGCGUAUCAUCAGUCAUCAGGUUAAAGCAGAAAGAAAUAGUCUUUUGGAAUAAUGUAGUCAUUUCCCAUUCCACGGCGGAAAUAGGAGAAUAUUACUAUGGAUUUCAUGGACAAGCUUCCUCGUAUACCAAAUAGUUAGGUUGGAGUUUGAAUAAUAAUUGAUUGACUUGUGACGUCAGCGCAUGUUACUUCAGUAUGAGAACAUCAACCUUUCCAGAUAAGCGCAACAGUUAUUUAUUUGUUUUAUGGAAAAAGGAGAUUGGGAUCUGUUAAACUUCUUGGGUAUGUUGGUUCCUUCAGUUUGUUCCCUAGAGUAACGCCAUAAGGCCGUGGAAAGCUAUGUCUUGUGUUUCAAAAUUGUUAGAAUUGGGGACGGAUGAUAUUCAAGACUCUGAGUUUGGUGAAAAUUUAUGGAGGAAUCUUUCAGUGGAAGAAACUACUUGAAAGUCAGAUAAUCGAAUGAGAGAGUUGUGUUUCGGGCUGUUUUAUGGAUAUUGCUGGAUUGUAAAGAUUGUGUAAAUUUCGAGGACGAAAUUUCUUUAAGGUGGGUAGAUUGUGACAGCCCGUCCCUAAUUUUUAAGAAUUUUUAAAGUUUUAAUAAAGGAUUUUACAAAAAUGCCCUUUGAGGCACGCACAUCAUUCGAGGUUAAUCGUUGUGUCGUGCCAUCUAAGAUUUGUUUUCUUGACAUAUGCUCAUAGUACUCGUCGUUACGGACGCGUGGGCGCAGACGGUUCGUGAUUUGGAGUUAUAUCGAAGAAGUUAUUAACGUUCGAAAUUUGGGAUUUUAAGGAAUUAUAAUUUUAGUGAAGUAUAGAAAUUCUUUUAUGAAAAUGGACGGCCCGGAUUUAUUGAUGAAUGAAAUGGAUGGCUGGGAUGAGGGAAAGGUUUUUGGUGUGUGUAUGUGUAUGAGAAGAAGAAACAGAAAACAGAAAAGAAGAAGAGACUGGGCAGAAAUGCCCAAUCGGAGAAGAAGAAGGUGAGAGCAAACCAGAAGAAGGGAGAGGAAGAAGCUGACCAAUCAGGGGACGGAAAGGAGGGAAAGGAGGGAGAGUGGUGCGCGGGGGAACAGGAGGAAUGGGUCACCCUUGACCCGCGCGACCCAAGCUUCCAAAUCGGCGGGUUUUCGCCAUUUCCGUCCAAAUUUCCAACGAAUUGAGUCAAGGUACCACUCCUAAUCAUCAUCUAGGCCUUCCCUCUUUACGUUUCACCCCAAGAAUCAUUGAAUUUCGUUGUGAUUUCGCGAAGAACACCCCUACGGGUGCCGCGACCCUUUUGUUUAAAUUCUCCAAAUUUUGAAAUGUUUUCUUUCAAUUACUAACACCAUUAGCAUUCCUUUAGGACCUAAAGCAAAGCCCAAGAGGUAAUUGAGGCGUUGGAACAAGUUUGAAGGUCGAAUUGGAAACACCCAAUUCUAGGGUUCUUCACGGUUUUGGUGAAAUUGAAGCACUUCCAGGCCAAAUUGGCCUUGGCCACAGGUAUGAAAGUUGUUCUACUCAUUGAGAUCUUCAAAUCUGCAAAUUUUGGUAAUUUUUUGAAAUAGUUGAAUUUUCCGGCGAGCCGGGGGCGGCCAACCGCCACCCGCGGCGGCCCACGCGGCGGCGCGUGGCCAAUGGCCCGCCAAUGUCAUUAUUAGCAUGUGUUCGAGGUUCUAGGUUCAGUUUUGAUAAUUGAUGGACGUAAAUUGAAUAAUUGAACCUAAGUUGGUUACGAUUCGUGGUUAAGUGAAAAUGUGAAUUGACGAUCCGACCGUUGGAUCGUCAUCAAACUUUGAUACGUUGUAAUACGUAAUAUUUGAGGAUUAUAGGAACUUACGGAUUGGGAAUCCGAUUUACGGAUAUUCCGGAAUUGGAAUUGUAAGUUCAUAAAAUAGAAUGUUAACCGUCACUUAGUUUUGGAAAUUGACGGAGAUCCGACCGUUGGAUGGUAAUGAAAUUUUAGGAUGUUGUCCUAGAGGUAUAUUGUGGACCUCUGGAAGUUACGGAUUUGAAAUCUGAGUUGCAGAUCAUCCAGAUCGAAUUACGUAGUGACGUGUCUUAUAUAAGUUAUGUAUUCUAUCGGCAGGAUUUCUGAGGUUGGGUUUGAUUAUUGUUCUAGGCGCUAAUCUUCAUGACGCCUUGAUGUGUGGUGCUAGGGAGUUGUUGAGCGAACUCCAGGUGAGUGGGCAGUUUUGUUUUCGUAUUACCUAUAUACUACUGUUUUUCCCAGAAAAUGUUUUAUAUGAAAAUAUGUUUUGAACAUGCCAUGCAUAGAAUUAUUUGAAAAUCAUGGAUUGGUUUAUGAAUUAUAUGAUUGAUAUAUGAUGCAUACAUAUUGCAUGGUGCUGUGGAGGCAAAGGUAAGUCAGGUGAGUUCAUUUAUGCAUUGAAUUGGUUGAUGUUGAUAUAAUUUGAGCUCAUAACCUGCACCCUAGGUGUUAGUGCUUAUUUUAUUCACCACACCGCACGCUCGCCUUGGAUCCAAGUAGGUGGAUGUCGUACAGACCAUGUGAGGGUUCCGACAUGCUAGUCGUAUAGAUCACUAGGCGUGAUUCCGACUAGUGGGUGAUCUUAGUUAUGCGCGCUGAUGAUUGAUGAGAGAAGCACUAGAGCGUAUUUUUACACCUUUCAUCGUACAGACUACCUUACGUAGUUCCGAGUGAUGUGCAGAGUAGGGCCGUAUAGGUCACUGUGGUGACUCCGGCUUAGUGAGAUAUUGAGCUAUUGAAUUAAUCGUAUAGGACCAACUGCAGGGUCUCCCGAUUGAUUCCUUAUUUCACCUGAUUUAUAUUUUGAUUUAUGGCAUGGCAUGUUUUUCUUGAAAAAUGUUAAAGAUUUGGGAUUCAAGUUUUGAGAUUUCAUAUGGUUAUAUAUAUAUAUUUUUCUGAAAAGUGUUAAAGGUUUGAGAUUUGAGAUUUUUGCUUAUAUAUAUGUUUAUAUAUAUGCUAUUUUCUGGGAAAGUAUACAGGUUUUACGGUGAGGGGUUAGAAAUGUUUUAAAUGAAAAGUUUUCGAAAAACUUUGUUUUACUGACCCACUCAAUUUUGUUUUGCGCCCCUCCAGGUUCAAGUUAGCAGAGCUUUGGUGGCCACGAGGAAUCCAACGGUGUUCUGACAGAAUUCACAAAAGUAGGACUCACCCUCGGGUGUGUCAUCUUAGUAAUUGGAAAUUUUUUUUAAAGCUUCUGAACUAUGUAAAUGGUUACGUCACUCUCACGUGACGGCCAGCACGCCCUCCUUCGGGACGGGGUGUGUCAUUGCAUGUCAUAGAUGUUGCUCAAACGAACAUGUUUUUCACAAAAUUUCCUUCAAGUGGUAUCAAGAGCCUAGGUCUAGUAAUUGGUGAAGGGAAAUAAAGAGAUUUAUGUGGGAUUUCUAGUGACUAGCAUGCAUAUACAAUUCAAAAUUUAUAUACAUUAGCAACGGAAGCAUGUUAUCACAUAAUAUCAAAGCUAUAGUCAUGCAAAUCAACUUCAAGAAGCAUAGGUCCAUAUUUGAUGCAUCUAAGAAAUUAACGAAGAACAAAGUGAAGGUUGAAGGAAAAAUUUUGUCCUAGCUAAGAACAUGUGAGAAUAUUUGAAUACAUAUGCAAACUAUUAACACAUUAAAGUAGGCAUGCAUUCAAAACAAUUCAUAAAACCCAUGACUUUCAAAGCCUAGUGAAUGGUGAACCAACAAACUCUUUAACAACAUUAAAGAGAAUAAAGGAUUUAGAGAUUCUUUACCCUUGAAGCUCAUCCUUGAUUACACAAGGGAUUCACCCAAGUGCAGGGCCUUCAAGUCACCUCCUUGCUCCUUGGAUCUUCCUUGUGAUUUUCUUCCUUUUAGUGCUCCUUUGCUUCUUUGAGGAUUUGAGGAUAUGUUCUCCAAAACACCAAAAGCUUGAUGUCUCUAAGUCUCUUCACCAAGGAUGUGAUGUGAAGAUGAAAUGGAUGACUUAGGGAAGAAGAGAUUGCUAGCUAUUCCUUCCCUAGGUGGCCGGCCUCUUUAGAGAAAAUGAGAGAAAAUUGUUUCACCUCAUUUCACCAAGAAAAACCCUAAAUGAAAAUAAAGCUAUAAAGUUGAAUUUAUACUUCAUCACAUGUGAGUGGCAAACUUGUAAUUAAUCCAAGUUUGACACUUCUCACCCUAAUGGCCGGCCAUAUCAAAUUGAUUGGGCUAAUUGCCCAUUUUGUUUUAGUUGUCAUACAACUUAAACAUAAUGGGCCUUGUGGACCAAAACGCUUUUUGGGCCCCGAAACCCAAAACCAACAUAUAAGCCCAAUACGAACAUUUCGUAUAAUUAAUUAACUAAUUAAUUAACCUUGACCAUUCUUCAAUUAAACCAUUUAAUUGCUUAUCCAUUUCAUUUAAUUUCUUCACCAACAUCCUUACUCGAUGUACGAUCCAUUAGGUUCCAUUUAGCGAGGUAGUGGGCGAUUGUUACUCUUAACGAUCGAUUGUGAAUUGAAACCACAUUUCAAUUCUCCCUUAAAAUUAGUGUUUGCUAAUCUUUAGGGCUUCCACAAACCAUGAGUGACACCUAGCAGCAUAUCAUGGUUACCCAAGCUAAGUAGAAGUGGUUGGAGAACCUAUCCAAUUACAACUACAAUGCAAUACGGUCAUUCUCUAAUACAAUACUCUUAAUCACAUUGUUUCAGGUGAUAGUUUGUUUCAUGUCUACUAUCCAAUGUGAUACUUAUCUAUAUGAUUCAAUUGAAUAUGAUUUGGGACAAACUUCCUAAGUCAUAUUCAUAUGCUUUGGCCAAAGACUCUUGAAUCAUAUCUUAGAGUAUUCUCCUUCCACCAUGGAAGGUUAGAGAUUCCUUGUUGUGCAUUCAUAUGCCUACA